rnacentral:rRNA from 1 species
UACAGAGGUCUCAAGCGUUGUUCGGAUUCAUUGGGCGUAAAGGGCGCGUAGGCGGCGCGGUAAGUCGGGUGUGAAAUCUCGGAGCUUAACUCCGAAACUGCAUUCGAUACUGUCUGACUCGAGUCUGGGAGAGGGAAGCGGAAUUCCGGGUGUAGCGGUGAAAUGCGUAGAUAUCCGGAGGAACAUCAGUGGCGAAGGCGGCUUCCUGGCCUAAGACUGACGCUGAGGUGCGAAAGCGUGGGGAGCGAACAGG